rnacentral:rRNA from 1 species
UACGUAGGGUGCAAGCGUUGUCCGGAAUUAUUGGGCGUAAAGGGCUCGUAGGCGGUCUGUCGCGUCAGGAGUGAAAACUCGGGGCUUAACCCCCGAGCCUGCUUCUGAUACGGGCAGACUAGAGGUAUGCAGGGGAGAACGGAAUUCCUGGUGUAGCGGUGAAAUGCGCAGAUAUCAGGAGGAACACCGGUGGCGAAGGCGGUUCUCUGGGCCUGUACUGACGCUGAGGAGCGAAAGCGUGGGGGAGCGAACAGG